AAUAGAGAAGCUCUUCGUGGACUUAAUUUUAAGUAGACAGUUCGUUUAGCAACAUUAUAUAGUUCGUGUACACUUUUUGUCAAAAUGAUUACCACCCUUAUUAAACUUACUUUAUUUAUUUUAAUGUGUGUCCAUAUUGUAGCAGGACGUGCCGGCCAGUAUGUUACAUGUGGUUCAGCAAUAAAGCUUCAGAAUUUGGCAUACAAGAUUCGGUUACAUUCUCAUGAUGUUAAAUAUGGUUCUGGUAGUGGGCAACAGUCAGUUACAGGAACAGAUACCACAGAUGAUGUCAAUUCACAUUGGGCAAUUCUUGGCCCUGUGAAUAAGACAUGUAAGAGAGGUGAACCCAUUGAAUGUGGAUCCACCAUUCGGUUUCAUCAUUUAACUACAAGGAAAUUUCUUCAUUCACACUUAUUCUCAUCGCCUCUUUCCGGAAGUCAAGAAGUAUCUGCAUUUGGUGAAAAUGGUAAUAUUUGUUGUGAAUCUUCUCUAGAAACAUUGUCAGACUCAAUUUCAAAUGCAGGUGUUGGUGAUACUGGUGAUUAUUGGAAAGUGGUGUGUGAUGGCGACUUUUGGGAACGUGAUGAUAAUGUUGUCUUCAGGCAUGUUGACACUAAUGUCUACUUAGCAACUUCAGGACAUGCAUAUGGCAGACCCAUUAAUGGUCAACUAGAAAUUGUUGGUUUAACGAGAUUAGAUUCUUCUUGUCAAUGGAAGACAGCUGAAGGUCUGUAUAUCCAUACCAGUACCUUCAAUCCCAAGCAAAAUAUGAAGCCAGAACACAAUGAACUGUAAAAAAAAAGUCGAUUUUGAUACAUAUCCAUCCCUUAACAAUACAAUUGAAUGGUGAUGGCUUAUCAUUCUUAAGAAAAAUUUUCUGUCAGAUUUAUCGACACCCACAUUCUGCCACAACCAUUUCGUCAUAGCGGUAUUUAUAGGUGAGAAUGCCUCGUUCGUCAUAGUAUAAUAAGCUGAUCGGUGCUAAUCGGG